UUAGGGCUAGGGUUUCAAAUAGCCUCGCAUCCGCCACUCCCCAUCUAUAAAGUUCCCCAUUAGGGGAGUCGUCUUGCCACACAUCCUGUAAGUUUCGCUUCUCAUCUAAUCGACUGUUACCGUGCUUUGCUUCACUAUCUGAUUCCAUUUUCAAGUUCUGUUCAAUUCUCUAUCAUGUUUUGGUGCGAUGAUUAUAAAACAAUUCCUCGUUCUGAAUGCUGUUGCCACGGCAUGACAGACUCUUUACACCCAUAGAAUAUGAGCACCAUAUCAUUCAUAAAUUUUUAGUUGGUGAAGUUUCCAUGUUCUUAUUGAACCUUUAGUCAUAUAAGCUAUGUUUGUGAAUUUGAUCUGACUUCCAUGCUGCUUUGUUUCUGGUGUUAUUUGUUUGAAUUUGAUUUGAUAGGAGACUGGUCUCUUUUUUCUCACAUGGCAUUUCUUGUUGACUUGUGCCUGACCUCUCCUGAAAUUCAACUAAGGUGGUGUUUAAAGCCCUAAUUUGUCUUCAACAAUGAUUUCAAAAAUUAGGGUUACGCACGCCUCCAAACUCAAGACACUACAAAAGUUAACUGAGGUUGUGAACUGUUUGAUGUCUUCUUUUCAAUGCUGCUUCAUAGUGAUUGCUGAUUAACCGGUAGUGUGGCAUUUCUAGAGUUUACAAGACACAAAAAUGGGUUUGAGAACAAAAAGUUUUAAUUUUCACUGAUAAUUAUAUCAUUAACAUAGAAUGGGAAUUUUUUAAAUUCUUCUAGAAAUGGAUAUCGGAUGUACUGUAUGAUUUCAGCUAGUGAAGUUUUUUUCAUGUUAUUUUCAAUCUAACUAUCUGAGAGGUAAAGUUCUUUUGAGAACACGACCUAUAUAGCUAUAUAUGCUUCAUAUGGUGUAGCAAUUAGCCAAAUAAGAUUCUGUAUUUUAGUUGUCUGUGACUGGUUAAUUGAUGUCCCAAUGUGCUGAUUUAUCAUCUUAAAAGAAGUUAAAUUAAAUUUCAGUCAUUGUACUAUUGGCGUGUUUUUUGUGGGUUACAUAUCCCUAGCCAGCCCAAGAAAUGUGCAAAUUCAUCAGCCUAUUUGCCUAACUCAAUGGACCAAUUGCUGGUUUAUAAAUUUGAAAUCAUGUAAAGUCUUUCAUAAAUCAUGUAAUAUUUGGAAGGUUUCAAGUGAGAUGAGCUCAAAUGUUGGAAUUUCCCAGUUGGACCAAUUUGCUUUUGCUUGUGACCUGUUGAUUAUACAACAGGUAGGCUUGUUGAUGGAAAUCAGCCCCCUGCAUCCAAUCUAAGUGGUUUGUUCUAAGAAGCUCUGACAGUCCUAGAAUUUCAAAGCAGCAUUGUUUGUCCAUCUACAUAUGUUGCAUAUUUUCUGAUUUAUUUGCUUGUUGUAGUCUGUUAUGUAUACAACUAUUCUACUGUCAAAACAGGCAACAUUAAAUGGCUAUGUUUAUUUGUAUAUUCUUACAAUGUUAGAGCUAGAAUGUGCUUUGUUUCAUAACGCUCUAAAGUAUAAAGGUGUGUAGCCUCUGCAGUGUCAAAGCAUUCUUGCUGCAUAAUUAGCAUUCAACACAAUGCAUGUAAACCUGUAUUAGUCUUUUUGAAUUCUAGUGGCUGUUAACGCAGUACUGUCGGGUGUUAUUCGUUAAUGGGCUGUUUGUUAGACAUGAAUUGUAUUGUAAUUCCACCAUAAUUCUUUGACCACC